rnacentral:rRNA from 1 species
AUUGAACGCUGGCGGCAUGCCUUACACAUGCAAGUCGAACGGCAGCACGGACUCCGGUCUGGUGGCGAGCGGCGAACGGGUGAGUAAUAUAUCGGAACAUACCUUGUAGUGGGGGAUAACUAUCCGAAAGGAUAGCUAAUACCGCAUACGCUCUAAGGAGGAAAGCGGGGGAUCGUAAGACCUCGUGCUAUAAGAGUGGCCGAUAUCUGAUUAGCUAGUUGGUGAGGUAAAGGCUCACCAAGGCGACGAUCAGUAGCUGGUCUGAGAGGACGACCAGCCACACUGGAACUGAGACACGGUCCAGACUCCUACGGGAGGCAGCAGUGGGGAAUUUUGGACAAUGGGGGCAACCCUGAUCCAGCAAUGCCGCGUGAGUGAAGAAGGCCUUCGGGUUGUAAAGCUCUUUUGUCAGGGAAGAAACGGUUGUGGCUAAUAUCCAUGGCUAAUGACGGUACCUGAAGAAUAAGCACCGGCUAACUACGUGCCAGCCGCCGCAGUAAAAC